rnacentral:rRNA from 1 species
UGGGGAAUAUUGCACAAUGGGGGAAACCCUGAUGCAGCGACGCCGCGUGGAGGAAGAAGGUCUUCGGAUUGUAAACUCCUGUUGUUGAGGAAGAUAAUGACGGUACUCAACAAGGAAGUGACGGCUAACUACGUGCCAGCAGCCGCGGUAAAACGUAGGUCACAAGCGUUGUCCGGAAUUACUGGGUGUAAAGGGAGCGCAGGCGGGAAGACAAGUUGGAAGUGAAAUCCAUGGGCUCAACCCAUGAACUGCUUUCAAAACUGUUUUCUUGAGUAGUGCAGAGGUAGGCGGAAUUCCCGGUGUAGCGGUGGAAUGCGUAGAUAUCGGGAGGAACACCAGUGGCGAAGGCGGCCUACUGGGCACCAACUGACGCUGAGGCUCGAAAGUGUGGGUAGCAAACAGGAUUAGAUA